GAGCCUACAGGACGCAGCAGUGGGGAAUAUUGCACAAUGGGGGAAACCCUGAUGCAGCAACGCCGCGUGAGUGAAGAAGUAUUUCGGUAUGUAAAGCUCUAUCAGCAGGGAAGAAGAGAGACGGUACCUGACUAAGAAGCCCCGGCUAACUACGUGCCAGCAGCCGCGGUAAUACGUAGGGGGCAAGCGUUAUCCGGAUUUACUGGGUGUAAAGGGAGCGUAGACGGCAUAGCAAGUCUGAAGUGAAAGCACGUG
rnacentral:rRNA from 1 species